rnacentral:rRNA from 1 species
UACGUAGGGGGCAAGCGUUGUCCGGAUUUAUUGGGCGUAAAGAGUGUGUAGGCGGUUUGGUAGGUCCGCUGUGAAAACUCGAGGCUCAACCUCGAGACGCCGGUGGAAACCAUCAGACUAGAGUCCGGAAGAGGAGAGUGGAAUUCCUGGUGUAGCGGUGAAAUGCGCAGAUAUCAGGAAGAACACCCGUGGCUAAGGCGGCUCUCUAGUACGGUACUGACGCUGAGACGCGAAAGCGAGGGGAGCGAACAGG